AGUGAACGCUCGCGGUAGGCCUAACACAUGCAAGUCGAACGGCAGCACAGUAAGAGCUUGCUCUUACGGGUGGCGAGUGGCGGACGGGUGAGGAAUACAUCGGAAUCUACUUUUUCGUGGGGGAUAACGUAGGGAAACUUACGCUAAUACCGCAUACGACCUACGGGUGAAAGCAGGGGAUCUUCGGACCUUGCGCGAUUGAAUGAGCCGAUGUCGGAUUAGCUAGUUGGCGGGGUAAAGGCCCACCAAGGCGACGAUCCGUAGCUGGUCUGAGAGGAUGAUCAGCCACACUGGAACUGGGACACGGUCCAGACUCCUACGGGAGGCAGCAGUGGGGAAUAUUGGACAAUGGGCGCAAGCCUGAUCCAGCCAUACCGCGUGGGUGAAGAAGGCCUUCGGGUUGUAAAGCCCUUUUGUUGGGAAAGAAAAGCAGCAGGUUAAUACCCCGCUGUUCUGACGGUACCCAAAGAAUAAGCACCGGCUAACUUCGUG
rnacentral:rRNA from 1 species